GAAAUAAUGUGGAAAGUAGAGCUAUGCAUAUUACGUGCUCUCUCUCUCUCUCCUAUCUAAAAAAAAAUUCUCUUAUAUAUAGAGAGUUGCAUGUGCAUAUACUGUUUGAUGAAAUGACUAAAUGGCCAUUUCAAAAUCUUUUUUUUAUAUAUACAUGUAAUCUAUAUUCUCUUAUUCCUCCAAAAUAACAGGCUCGCAUUCUUCUUUUCACAUCUUUAUUUCUCCAUUCUCUGUUGAAGUUUCCGUCUUUAGCAUAUUCAGUAGCAAAUACCAUACACGGUAAGUUAGGUAGUUGGUUAUCUGAUACAUAUGUUCAUUCAAUUCCGUUCACUUCUCUUCGAACUCUCCAAGCUUCAUCAAACUCUAUCUAAAACCAAACACUUGCAUGCUUUGAUCAUCAAAACCCAUCUCUCAAAUGACCCAUUCUAUGCCACUAGAAUCAUCAGAUUCUAUGCCAUCAAUGACGACCUUUUCUCCGCCCGUAACUUGUUUGACGAAACGCCCCACCGAAGUGUCUACCUCUGGAAUUCCAUAAUCAGAGCUUAUGCCCAAUCCCAUAAGUUUAUUGACGCUUUUCACCUUUUCAAGCACAUGCUUAGCUCAGAAACAAAGCCCGAUAACUUUACAUUCGCUUGCAUUUUACGUGCAUGUUCUGAAAAUUUUGAUUUACAAAGACUGAGACUAGUACACGGAGGAGUGGUAGUUUCAGGUUUAGGAUGGGACUCCAUUGUUAGUAGUUCACUUGUAACGGCUUAUUCGAAACUAGGCCCUGUUAGUGAAGCAAGUAUAAUCUUCAACGGGAUACUUGAGCCAGAUUUAGUUUUGUGGAACUCAAUGAUUUUUGGUUAUGGGUGUUGUGGGUAUUGGGAUAAGGGGCUACUAUUGUUCAGUAGGAUGCAAAGCAUGGGGAGACAGCCAGAUGGCUACACUCUGGUUGGGUUGAUCUCGAGUUUAGCGGAUCCCAGCUUGCUGGAAAUUGGUCAAGGGAUUCAUGGUUUUUGUUUAAAAAAUGGUUUUGAUUCUAAUACUCAUAUUGUCAGUGUACUUGUGAGCAUGUACUCAAGAUGCAAGUGUUUGAAUUCGGCGCUUAAAGUUUUUGAUAGUUUAUUAGAGCCUGACCUGGUAACUUGGUCUGCUCUAAUUACUGGGUUUUCUCAGUUUGGAGACUCGGAAAAGGCCUUGAUUUUUUUCAAGAAAAUGAAUAUGGAAGGUAAAAAGGCAGAUCCAAUAUUGAUCGCUAGUUUACUAGCAGCUAUUGCUCAAUUAGCAAUUGUGGGGCCUGGCAGUGAAAUACACAGUUACGUUCUUCGGCAUGGAUUUGAGUCAGAAGUCAUGGUAUCUUCUGCUCUCAUUGACAUGUAUUCAAAAUGUGGCUUCUUGCGUUUGGGGAUUCAGGUUUUUGAAAGAACGCUGGAAAGGAAUACCAUUUCUUAUAAUUCAUUAAUUUCCGCUCUUGGUUUACAUGGACUUGCUUCCGAUGCCUUCGUUAUUUUCAAGGAGAUGCUAGAAAAAGGAUGUGAACCAGAUGAAUCUACUUUUUCUGCUCUCCUUUGUGCUUGUUGCCAUGCUGGUCUUGUCAGAGAUGGUCAAGAAUAUUUCAGAAAAAUGACCGAUGAAUUUGGCAUGGAAGCUAAAACAGAGCAUUAUGUCCACAUGGUAAAGCUUCUUGGGAUGGCUGGAGAGUUGGAAAAGGCUUAUGAACUUGUCCAGUCUUUGCCAGAACCAGUGGAUUCGGGCAUUUGGGGAGCACUACUAUCAUGCUGUGAUGCUCUUGGAAAUUUUGAGUUGGCAGAAAAAGUAGCUCAACAGCUCUUUGAGCAUAAACCAAUGAAAUGUACGUACAAAGUUAUGCUUUCUAACAUAUAUGCCAGUGAUGGUAGGUGGGAUGAUGCAAGGAAGUUGAGAGAGGCUAUGAAAGGAGGUAUGGGGAAGAUGCCUGGAGUCAGCUGGAUUGGAGGCAAUAGCGGUCUAUAAAUGAGCAGUUAAGUAGAUGGUUGUUGAUGACCAUGAGGAGUUGAAGAAUUACAGAUGAAUCUACAAAACGAAUUUAAUUGCCUUGCUAACGUUCUUACACAUACAUUGUUUUUGCUGCUGCAAGCUUCAUCAAGAGGACCUUAUCAUGAGGAAGAGAAUUGACAGUGGUAGAGAGGAACAUGGUCUCUACAUUUUGGAUCAGACAGACAAGCUAGCUCAUUUAUCUAUCCAGUUACCAUCCACCAAGGAAGACAUUUGGAUGUGGCAUCAUCG